UUGCAAUGAUGUGAAAUUCAUCUUGAAAGAAUCCUUAUGGGAGUUCUAUAUGUAAUGCUUAAUCUGAGCGGUUAACUGAGCAA
rfam:Picea glauca, whole genome shotgun sequence.